AACCAUAGAAACCUGCGGAGUACCUGCGGAAGGAUCAUUACCGAGUGCGGGUCCGCGAGGCCCAACCUCCCACCCGUGCCUAUUGUACCCUGUUGCUUCGGCGGGCCCGCCAGCCUUCGGGCUGGCCGCCGGGGGGCGUCUCGCCCCCGGGCCCGUGCCCGCCGGAGACCCCAACAUGAACCCUGUUCUGAAAGCUUGGUGUCUGAGUGUGAUUGUUUGCAAUCAGUUAAAACUUUCAAC
rnacentral:misc_RNA from 1 species